GCCCUCACUUAGCGGCAGACGUGGGGUUAGCUCUCCCGACUCUGGCGAUUUCAGUGCAUUCUUUAAAGUCCUAAACCAGCAGAUAAAAACAGUGGAAGGGCAGGACUGUGUGAGGUUCUUGCGACCAAAUUGCUUCUCCCAGAGGAGUGUUGGGAAAUAUGACCGGCCAGGACCUUGGGGUCACCUCAGGAGAUGCCUGUGGCACUGCUGGGGGACACCCAACUCACUAACAAGGACAGUGACUAAGAGCAGAGCACUCACUGUGGCUUCCCAAACUCUUCACCACCCAGGAUAUCAUUUUAUUUUGUUCUGUUUGUUUUUCAGUCCUCAGAGACUUCACGUUUUGAAAACUGGUAUCUGUCAAUUAAAGUACAUUGAUUAAGCA
rnacentral:lncRNA from 1 species